rnacentral:rRNA from 1 species
UACGUAGGGGGCAAGCGUUGUCCGGAAUUAUUGGGCGUAAAGAGCUCGUAGGCGGUCUGUCGCGUCGGAUGUGAAAAUCCAGGGCUCAACCCUGGACCUGCAUUCGAUACGGGCAGACUAGAGUUCGGCAGGGGAGACUGGAAUUCCUGGUGUAGCGGUGAAAUGCGCAGAUAUCAGGAGGAACACCGGUGGCGAAGGCGGGUCUCUGGGCCGAUACUGACGCUGAGGAGCGAAAGCGUGGGGAGCGAACAGG